rnacentral:rRNA from 1 species
AUUGAACGCUGACGGCAGGCUUAACACAUGCAAGUCGAGCGGAGACUUCGGUCUUAGCGGCGAACGGGUGAGUAAUACCUAGGAAUCUGCCUAUUAGUGGGGGAUAACGAAUCGAAAGGUUCGCUAAUACCGCAUACGUCCUACGGGAGAAAGGGGGAUCUUCGGACCUCUCGCUAAUAGAUGAGCCUAGGCCGGAUUAGCUAGUUGGUAGGGUAAAGGCCUACCAAGGCGACGAUCUGUAGCUGGUCUGAGAGGAUGGCCAGCCACACUGGAACUGAGACACGGUCCAGACUCCUACGGGAGGCAGCAGUGGGGAAUAUUGGACAAUGGGCGCAAGCCUGAUCCAGCAAUGCCGCGUGUGUGAAGAAGGCCUGCGGGUUGUAAAGCACUUUCAGUGGGGAAGAACAGAUUCGGGUCAAUACCCCGGAGCCCUGACGUUACCCACAGAAGAAGCACCGGCUAACUCCGUG